CAGGUUUGUCUGAGAUGCAGGGACUGGAGGAAGGGAAGAAUGAAGGACACCCAGGUGGCAUGCUGGGGGCAGCAGCAGAGCCAGAUGGCUUCCUAUCCUACUUGGAACUUGAAUACUGGGUUUCUUCCAUUAAAAUAUAAGAAAAUCGAGGCUCAAGAUGAUGCCAAUACAGAUGGAAGCUUGACUCCAGCGGAACCUGGGUGGUUUUAACGUGCAGCCAACGACCCAACAACAUUCCACACCCUUUCUACAAUGAAAACCAAGAAAGAGAACCACUGAACCACUUCGGCAAAGCAGCCGCUGUUGGAAUUCCUCUCCUUCUUUCGUCUGGAUUUGUAAACAGAGGCUGUGAGUCUGUGGAAGCCAAAGUAAACAGUGGCAGAUGCAAACAAGGCUUCCAGUGAGGAGAAUCUAAUGGAAUUAUUGGUAUAUCAUUCCUGACAGCCUGCGCUGGAUACGGAUGGAGAACGCCAACCCCAGUUUGAAAGAAGAUGACUUGCUUGACUGGAGCUCAGCUGACAACCCCAGUUAAUGAGAGUACAGGUGUGGCACCGUUGGCGUGAGAAAGAUGAAGGAAGAUGGAGCAGAUUGGUCCUCAGAGAUUUGUGUUUAUAGACAGUGGCUAACUUGCAAGGACCAUUCUGGGCUUUGUUUAUCUUCCAACCUCCAUUCUUUUCUGGUUUUCCAGAAUGCUUUCCGGGGACCACUUACAUCAGCGUUACCUGGGUAGUUAGUAACACAGACACGUUUCUGGGCCUGAUGCUCGCAGAUCCUGGUUUGUGAGGAUGAUGUGUGACUUCCUUUUCCUUGAAAAGCUUUUCGGUACUUGUGAUAAACAGCGCCAUGGAGGUGGCAUUCGUCCAUUACUUGUACAUUCAGACGUGUAAUUUCAUGAUCACUCAGCAAUUGGGGUUCAAGGAAAGCUGAUCAAAGCUGGAGAGUUCUGAGUCCUCAGCUCUUAAAGGGCCAGGGCCAAGUCUUAUUUAUCCUCACAUUCUUGGCAAGAUGUCUUGGAGCAUGUGAAGCCCUUUGUUUAUAGGAACUGGAGAUGGGACCCAGAAAAGCUAAAUGAUUCACUUGUGGCUUUGCUGUUGAUGCAAUGCAGAGUCACCUGAAUCCUUACUUUGCCUCUGCGCUCUUCAGUAUCUGGCCUCUCCAAACUGCUCCUUGUAAAAGGGUCCCAGUGUGUGAAGUGUAUCUGAUGCGUAAAACUAUGCUGAGUGGUUUAAGCUUGUGAUUGCUUUUUAUUCUUUAUUGAUUAUGAUCUGUUAAAUUGACAUUAUCUACUCCCCUUUAUAGGAAAAGUGCAGAAAAUCUCAUGACUGGUGAGGGUGGAAGAAAAUUCCUAACAAGGUUUCUUUUGUGGACACUGUGGCAGAAACGCCAAGCAAGAAACUCUUGGGGUGCUAACAGUGCUGUAAGUGGGGUCCUUGGAAGGUCAGUGUAUAGAGAACCACCACCAUUGCACACACUGAGGGUUCCUGUUGCUCUUCAGUGACAUGGUGGGAAUCAAGUCUCGGUGGAGCUGGGUUGUGAACCCAUGUUCAUUGGAUCCACCCUGUUGCAUUUCCCAAUGAGCCCUUGGCUCCCUAUCAACCCACCAUUGGGAAUUCUCCAUGUGAACUCACACAGAAUGUAAAUGGAAGAUAUAAACUAGAUGCUAGGACAUUUUAAUCUACAAAGGUUACUGUUUUCCAACCUCAUGUGGAAAGGUCCCAGCAGACACCUGGAAGUGACUACUUCCGGGAUAACAGAUGAUAGAAGCUCAUUUACCUAAGAUGAAGAAACUUUGCUAUUGUUGAUACCUGCAUAGACACAUAACUUCUUAAAAAGCCUUAGCCGUGUAUUAUCGUAAUAAGCUGCAUAUAUCUGAAGUGUUUAGUUUGAUAAGUUUUGACAUGUAGACACAUCCAUAGUUAGGAUAAUGAUUAUAUCUAUCUCCCCCAAAGGUCUUAUUACAAUCCCUUUCUCUGGCCCUUCCUUAACUACUUUUUCUUUCUUUCAAGGUACUUAUAAUUUACUUUCUAUAUUUUUACUACAUGUAGUUAUUUUCAUAUAUCAUUUACUCCUUUUUAUUGUUUGGUGAUAUCCCAUUUCUUAGAUGUUUAUGACUUGUGUA